GAUGAACGCUGGCGGCGUGCUUAACACAUGCAAGUCGAACGAAGCACUUAAGAUUGAUUCCUCGGAUGACGUCUUUUGUGACUUAGUGGCGGACGGGUGCGUAACGCGUGGGUAACCUGCCUCACACAGGGGGAUAACAGUUAGAAAUGACUGCUAAUACCGCAUAACCCGAUAGGAUCGCAUGAUCCAGACGGGAAAGAUUUAUCGGUGUGAGAUGGACCCGCGUCUGAUUAGCUAGUUGGUGAGGUAACGGCCCACCAAGGCGACGAUCAGUAGCCGGCCUGAGAGGGUGAACGGCCACAUUGGGACUGAGACACGGCCCAAACUCCUACGGGAGGCAGCAGUGGGGAAUAUUGCACAAUGGGGGAAACCCUGAUGCAGCGACGCCGCGUGAGUGAAGAAGUAUUUCGGUAUGUAAAGCUCUAUCAGCAGGGAAGAAAAUGACGGUACCUGACUAAGAAGCCCCGGCUAACUACGUG
rnacentral:rRNA from 1 species